GUAACGGCUACAGAGCUCGCACAGACCUCACUAUGGACCAGAGGAGGAACUUCAUGUUAAGUGAUACAAAGCUCCAUUUCAGAGGGAACGUUCGCCUCUUCCCACUUGUUUUUGUCCAGAUGAUGCAGCAAAAGGAUGCAGCAGAGGCCGUCACCCAAGUUGAAGCUCCUUCACAUGGCAUAGAGUACAGACCCAAAGUGUCAUGUCCACUCUGCUGAGGAAACAUCGCCCCCCAGAGGUGUUCAGAGAGACUGGCAUGACCUUCUGGACCGUCCACGCCUGAAAAGCCAAUCAGCCAGAUCAUCAGAGUCGGACAGAAUCACACACUAGUGAUGAAAAAUUAUACUAAACUUGUAUUUAGAUUGACAAUUUUUCUUAAUAUUCAUCAUUUUAAACUAUGAAAAUAUUUUGCUCUAAAGUUUUUCAAAAUAAGAGUACAAAAAGUAAAAAUAAAAGCAAAAUAAAAAAAAAAAAACUUUUAAAAUAUGUUGCAUUAUUUUGACAGAGUCGGAGGCAAACUUUGUACGUACUCUUGGUUUGCUGUGAGGGGAACGGCAGACUCUUGGCUCUGUCGGGGGAGUAUCCUCUGCUGCUCACGCUGGAGCCCGAGCGACUGUGGGGGGAGCGGGCCGCAUCCCGGCGGGUGGGGGAGCGCUCUCUGAUGGGAGGGAACAGUGCAGCCUUCCUCCUGUAGGGGUCCCUGUCCUCCCUGGAAACAACAGCAGGGAUUUAAAGGCAAGAAUCUUUGAUACUCUAAUAAAUCCAAAUGUUUCCCCCCAUUUUAUUUAUUAAAAGGCAAUGCUAAUGCUAAUGAAGACUUUCUAAAGACAACACAAACUUUAGAAUGAAUAAACAAAAUACACAGCUUAAAAAAAUAAAGGGAACACACUCAAUGUUACUCCAAAUCAUUCUCACUUCUGAGUGAUCAAACUGUCCAAUUAGGAAGUAACAGUAACUGAGUUUACAUAAGUAAUCGGAAUAAAACCGGAACAUGUAAACCAGUGGUCCCCAAACUGUUUUGGGCCGUUUAAAUUAGACUAUAUUUUCCUGAACUGGUCCGAAGUUGGUACGUUUAAGCCUCCGGUUUCUGAAAAUGUAUUUUCAAAAUAAAAUGCAACUACAAAAGAUUUAGUU